AUUGAACGCUGGCGGCAUGCCUUACACAUGCAAGUCGAACGGCAGCACGGGUGCUUGCACCUGGUGGCGAGUGGCGAACGGGGUGAGCAAUAUAUCGGAACGUACCUUAUCGUGGGGGAUAACGCAGCGAAAGCUGCGCUAAUACCGCAUACGCCCUGAGGGGGGAAANCGGGGGGACCGUAAGGCCUCGCGCGAUUAGAGCGGCCGAUAUCUGAUUAGCUUGUUGGUGGGGUAAAAGCCACCAAGGCGACGAUCAGUAGCUGGUCUGAGAGGACGAUCAGCCACACUGGGACUGAGACACGGCCCAGACUCCUACGGGAGGCAGCAGUGGGGAAUUUUGGGACAAUGGGCGCAAGCCUGAUCCAGCCAUUCCGCGUGAGUGAAGAAGGCC
rnacentral:rRNA from 1 species